rnacentral:rRNA from 1 species
AGAGUUUGAUCCUGGCUCAGAUUGAACGCUGGCGGCAUGCCUUACACAUGCAAGUCGAACGGCAGCACGGGGGCAACCCUGGUGGCGAGUGGCGAACGGGUGAGUAAUACAUCGGAACGUGUCCUGUAGUGGGGGAUAGCCCGGCGAAAGCCGGAUUAAUACCGCAUACGAUCUACGGAAGAAAGCGGGGGAUCUUCGGACCUCGCGCUAUAGGGGCGGCCGAUGGCAGAUUAGCUAGUUGGUGGGGUAAAGGCCUACCAAGGCGACGAUCUGUAGCUGGUCUGAGAGGACGACCAGCCACACUGGGACUGAGACACGGCCCAGACUCCUACGGGAGGCAGCAGUGGGGAAUUUUGGACAAUGGGCGCAAGCCUGAUCCAGCAAUGCCGCGUGUGUGAAGAAGGCCUUCGGGUUGUAAAGCACUUUUGUCCGGAAAGAAAAC